UCUCUCAGAGUUGAAAAGGGAAGGAUACUGGGAAUGUCAUCUGCACGGUCAUCACAGCUUCUUGGUCCUAGUGCCAGCCAUGUGUCCUACAAGGAAGGAGAGGUGACAGGGUAUGGUUGGUCAGUUCUGCUCUCUGCUACCAGAUUCGGGGGAAAUCACAAGGUUUAAUUCCUAUUGACAUUUAAAAUCUGCUGUGAUACUCAUUCAGGGCUACACUUGGUC